AACGAACGCUGGCGGCAUGCCUAACACAUGCAAGUCGAACGAAACCUUCGGGUCUAGGGGCGCACGGGUGCGUAACGCGUGGGAACCUGCCCUUAGGUUCGGCAUAACUCCCCGAAAGGGGUGCUAAUACCGGAUAAUGUCUUCGGACCAAAGAUUUAUCGCCUUUGGAUGGGCCCUCGUUGGAUUAGCUAGUUGGUAGGGUAAAAGCCUACCAAGGCGCGGAUCCAUAGCUGGUCUGAGAGGAUGAUUAGCCACACUUGGACUGAGACACGGCCCAGACUCCUACGGGAGGGAGCAGUGGGGAAUAUUGGACAAGGGGGUAAAGGCUGAUCCAGCAAGGCCGGGUAAGUGAUGAAGGCCUUAGGGAAGUAAUGUGCUUUUACCCGUGAUGAUAAUGACAGUACCGGGUGAAUAAGCUCCGGCUAACUACGUG
rnacentral:rRNA from 1 species